rnacentral:lncRNA from 1 species
CGGCCGCGGCCAUGGGGGGCUUGAAAGACGAACUGCUCAAAGCCAUCUGGCACGCCUUCACCGCGCUCGACCUGGACCGCAGCGGCAAGGUCUCCAAGUCGCAACUCAAGGUGAGCCCCCUGCCGGCGCUUCCCGUAGGGCACGGGUCCCGCCGCAGUGUCCACAGGGAGGGCUGGUUGGGAAUGCGGCGGGGCGGCGGUCCUUACUCUUCCUUCAGGCGUCCGGGCGGUGCGCGGGGGCGAGCGCGCUGCUGCGGCUCCCACGACGGCUGAGGUGCGCUCCAAGAGGCACCGCGGGACCUGCAGAGCGUCCCCCGGCGACGGGAUGUAUGGGGGCCCGGGAGCCUCAGCCUCGUCUCCGGGACACUGAGCAGAGCCUCCCCGCCAGCGUCCACAGGUCUUGGGGCUACUGAGCGCGUGCCAAGCGGCUCGUGUCUUGCGGGCUCCCUGCAAAGGCCAUUGCUUUUGUAGAGUCCUCCUUAAGGGCUGCCCAGAGACCCCAUAGUAUGAGGUACGCAUAAAGGGAUACUUGUAAGUUGAGUAAAACCCAAAGUGGCACUCAGCCAGGAGAAAUUGGCAGCGUCUUGAAAAGCCUGAAAUAUAGAAACAGACAAGAGGAGCCAUUCAACAGGCAUUUUUAAAAUAUACACAUUUUGGAUCUGAAUGACUAGGUUUUCUUAGCCUCUCCUGAGGAGAAAUUUCCGAAGUUUGGGUUUGCUUUGUAUAUUUUGUGCAGUAAAUGAGGAAGUUCUUUUCAGUAGUGACUUUUAUGCCAGCAGGAUCUGGCGUUCUCACUUGUUUUCCUUUUGAUAUUAUUCAUUAAAUCAUAGUCUGGAAGGACCGAUGGAAAUUAGCCACACACUUUUACUUAAAAAAAAAAAA